rnacentral:lncRNA from 1 species
UACAACUUUAUUAAUACAACAUGAAAACUGUGAAUUUAAAUACAAAUAUUGCCGUCUAGAUAAUAUUCACACCCAAAUAAGUCCUCAUUAUAAUUAUUGGUACAUUAUUUUACAAAAAUGGUGAGUACUACUAAAAACGACUUUCUAGAACCUUCAUUCCAUACCCCGACUAGUACUCGCUACAUUCUCGCAUCCUGAGAAGAAAAAUGGAAUAAAAAGGAAAAGGGUGAUCUCAAUUAGCCCAGUAAAGAAUAUUAUGACUAAGAUAAUAUAGAACAAAUUAUCGUUAGUCUUCAAUAGGAAAAAAAAUCUGAUAAAAAACAAUAGACAACAAAUUUCAGAUCAAUAUUCACAGCGGAAAUAAUAAUUCAUAGAAGAGUUACGUAGGGAAUGAAAUCUACUAUAAUCUAUGAAUUUAAAAGUCCAUCAUCAAUAUUUUAUCCAUGUAACAUCAACCAAUAUUCAUCUUUGCACUACAGGCCAAAGAUAUUCAUCAGUUGGUCAUGUUCAUCUCAACACCUGUACAUCUUUGCACUACGAGCCAAAGAUAUUCAUAAGAAAAUCAACCAUCUUCGCACUACAGGCCAAAGAUAUUCAGUAAUACCAUUAUUUAGGACUGAGGAUGAUGAAAAAUAUUUUAAAGAGAACGAAUCCAGUGAAACAAAA